rnacentral:rRNA from 1 species
UACGAAGGGGGCUAGCGUUGUUCGGAAUUACUGGGCGUAAAGCGCACGUAGGCGGACUUGUAAGUCAGUGGUGAAAGCCCGAUGCUUAACAUCGGAACUGCCAUUGAUACUGCAAGUCUUGAAUAUGUUUGAAGUGGGCGGAAUGUGUCGUGUAGCGGUGAAAUGCUUAGAUAUGACACAGAACACCGAUUGCGAAGGCAGCUCACUAAACCAUUAUUGACGCUGAGGCACGAAAGCGUGGGGAGCAAACAGG